UAAGCUCUACGUCUGGAGGCAUCCGGCGAUACUGGCCACUUUUGCCAGUAUCUGGAUGCAUAGAGGCGAAGGAGUGUGGU
rnacentral:pre_miRNA from 1 species